rnacentral:rRNA from 1 species
AUGGGGAAAUAUUUCUAUAUCACCCGCAGCCCUUCAUCUUUAUAUUCAAACACAAGGGUUCAUGUGGAUGAGCUCAAGAAGUACAAGCCACCACAUCUCCUUGGGCUCCUCCGAUACUCUCAGCUUGGCAAUAUGACUAACAUAGAUCUUGUCAACAAUUGCACAUGCCAGUCAUCUAGUAGUGCCAUUGAGCUUGCGGAAAUCGGCAUCAAGUUGACUGCCAGCAGCAAAACAGGGUUGGCGGACAUGAGUGUCCAGAGAGGCUGCCUCUUUGGCCAGCUCUCGCUGACGGCAUUGUUCGUAAAUAACUUCACUGCUUGCUGGCUCGUCAACAUGGCAUCUUACGAGGCGUGUGUGUCCACCACAUAUCCUUCAGAUGGCUUCAUCAUCAGCUCAUACAUCUCUUUCCUGGCAAUGCUCAUGGACAAGGAAGAGGACAUGCACGAGCUGCGAGCCAAGCACAUCGUUCGCAGCUUCUUCAGCAACACAGGGCUGCUCGUUUUCUUCAAGGGCCUCGCCACCCACCUGCGCCUCAGGCGCCACUACUUUGUCAUCACGAGUAAGAUUAGCAAGUUCAAGCAUGAAAGGCCUGUGAGUAUCGCCGUGCAUAGGUUCGUAUACAAAAACUUCAAGACAAUUGUAACAGUGCUCUCUAUUGGUGGUGUGCUCUCUAUCUGCAUCGGCGAUAUCAUGGUUUGGCCAUGGUUCAGAUCAGAGACGGUGAUGAGUGUGCAGGAUCCAUCCCGGCGGCUCUCACGGUUUGGCGAGGUGGGGUGGGAGCCCUCCUCCCAGGCUCCAGUGGUGACGCAUUCAGGCAGUGGCUGGUGCGCCAGGGCUCCUACGGUGGCACUGCUGUUGUGGUUGGUCGCCGGAUCUAGGCGGCUAGAUCUGGGGCUUUGA